GCUGUGGGGAUAUGGCAUUGUGGUUCCUGCAUGAAAACAGUAGCUGGUUGUGUCUGGACCUACAACACCACCUCUGCAGUCAUAGUAAAGUCUGCC
ensembl:miRNA